rnacentral:rRNA from 1 species
GUUUGUCGCGUCUGCCGUGAAAGUCCGGGGCUUAACCCCGGAUCUGCGGUGGGUACGGGCAGACUUGAGUGAUGUAGGGGAGACUGGAAUUCCUGGUGUAGCGGUGAAAUGCGCAGAUAUCAGGAGGAACACCGAUGGCGAAGGCAGGUCUCUGGGCAUUAACUGACGCUGAGGAGCGAAAGCAUGGGGAGCGAACAGGAUUAGAUACCCUGGUAGUCCAUGCCGUAAACGUUGGGCACUAGGUGUGGGGGACAUUCCACGUUUUCCGCGCCGUAGCUAACGCAUUAAGUGCCCCGCCUGGGGAGUACGGCCGCAAGGCUAAAACUCAAAGGAAUUGACGGGGGCCCGCACAGGCGGCGGAGCAUGCGGAUUAAUUCGAUGCAACGCGAAGAACCUUACCAAGGCUUGACAUGAACCGGAACGGCGCAGAGAUGUGUCGGCCACUUGUGGCCGGUUUACAGGUGGUGCAUGGUUGUCGUCAGCUCGUGUCGUGAGAUGUUGGGUUAAGUCCCGCAACGAGCGCAACCCUCGUUCCAUGUUGCCAGCGGGUUAUGCCGGGGACUCAUGGGAGACUGCCGGGGUCAACUCGGAGGAAGGUGGGGACGACGUCAAAUCAUCAUGCCCCUUAUGUCUUGGGCUUCACGCAUGCUACAAUGGCCGGUACAAAGGGUUGCGAUGCUGUGAGGUGGAGCUAAUCCCAAAAAGCCGGUCUCAGUUCGGAUUGAGGUCUGC